CCUACGGGAGGCAGCAGUGGGGAAUAUUGGACAAUGGGGGCAACCCUGAUCCAGCAAUGCCGCGUGUGUGAAGAAGGCCUUCGGGUUGUAAAGCACUUUCAGUGGGGAAGAAAGGCUCAAGGUUAAUACCCUUGAGAGUUGACGUUACCCACAGAAGAAGCACUGGCUAACUCUGUGCCAGCAGCCGCGGUAAU
rnacentral:rRNA from 1 species